rnacentral:rRNA from 1 species
AGAGUUUGAUCAUGGCUCAGAUUGAACGCUGGCGGCAUGCCUUACACAUGCAAGUCGAGCGGCAGCGCGGGGCAACCCUGGCGGCGAGCGGCGCACGGGUGAGUAAUGCAUCGGAACGUGUCCUCUUGUGGGGGAUAACCAGUCGAAAGACUGGCUAAUACCGCAUGAGCUCGCGAGAGGAAAGCAGGGGACCCGCAAGGCCUUGCGCGAGAGGAGCGGCCGAUGCCGGAUUAGCUAGUUGGUGGGGUAAAAGCCCACCAAGGCGACGAUCCGUAGCUGGUCUGAGAGGACGACCAGCCACACUGGGACUGAGACACGGCCCAGACUCCUACGGGAGGCAGCAGUGGGGAAUUUUGGACAAUGGGGGCAACCCUGAUCCAGCCAUGCCGCGUGUGUGAAGAAGGCCUUCGGGUUGUAAAGCACUUUCGGCCGGAACGAAAUCGCGUGGGCGAAUAUCCCGCGUGGAUGACGGUACCGGAAGAAGAAGCACCGGCUAACUACGUGCCAGCAGCCGCGGUAAUACGUAGGGUGCGAGCGUUAAUCGGAAUUACUGGGCGUAAAGUGUGCGCAGGCGGCCGCGCAAGUCGAGUGUGAAAGCCCCGAGCUUAACUUGGGAAUUGCGCUCGAAACUACGUGGCUGGAGUGUGGCAGAGGAAGGUGGAAUUCCAGGUGUAGCGGUGAAAUGCGUAGAGAUCUGGAGGAACACCGAUGGCGAAGGCAGCCUUCUGGGCCAACACUGACGCUCAUGCACGAAAGCGUGGGGAGCAAACAGGAUUAGAUACCCUAGUAGUCC